rnacentral:miRNA from 1 species
GGGUUCUCUGUAUAGCUUUGGAGCCUGUCCUGGCACUCACUCUAUAGACCAGGCUGGUUUCGAACUCACAGAAAUCCACCUGCCUCUGCCUCCUGAGUGCUGGGACUAAAGGCAUGCACCACCAACGCCC